rnacentral:rRNA from 1 species
GAUGAACGCUAGCGGGAGGCUUAACACAUGCAAGUCGAGGGGCAGCAUAGGGUAGCAAUACACGGGUGGCGACCGGCGCACGGGUGAGUAACGCGUAUGCAACCUGCCUACUACAAGGGGAUAACCCGUUGAAAGACGGACUAAUACCCUAUAACACAGGGAAUCCGCAUGGAUAUAUUUGUUAAAGAUUUAUCGGUAGUAGAUGGGCAUGCGUUCCAUUAGCUUGUUGGUGAGGUAACGGCUCACCAAGGCAACGAUGGAUAGGGGAACUGAGAGGUUGAUCCCCCACACUGGAACUGAGACACGGUCCAGACUCCUACGGGAGGCAGCAGUGAGGAAUAUUGGUCAAUGGACGAGAGUCUGAACCAGCCAAGUCGCGUGAAGGAAGACGGCCCUACGGGUUGUAAACUUCUUUUGUAAGGGAAUAAAUAGUCUUACGCGCUAAGACGUUGCAGGUACCUUACGAAUAAGGAUCGGCUAACUCCGUG